rnacentral:rRNA from 1 species
CCAGCAGCCGCGGUAAUACGUAGGGUGCAAGCGUUGUCCGGAUUUAUUGGGCGUAAAGAGCUCGUAGGCGGUUAGUCACGUCGGAUGUGAAAACCCAGUGCUUAACACUGGGCCUGCAUUCGAUACGGGCUGACUAGAGUGUUGUAGGGGAGACUGGAACUCCUGGUGUAGCGGUGAAAUGCGCAGAUAUCAGGAAGAACACCGGUGGCGAAGGCGGGUCUCUGGGCAACUACUGACGCUGAGGAGCGAAAGCGUGGGGAGCAAACAGGAUUAGAUACCCUGGUAGUCCACGCCGUAAACGGUGGGCGCUAGGUGUGGGGAACAUUCCACGUUCUCCGUGCCGCAGCUAACGCAUUAAGCGCCCCGCCUGGGGAGUACGGCCGCAAGGCUAAAACUCAAAGGAUUGACGGGGGCCCGCACAAGCGGCGGAGCAUGCGGCUUAAUUCGAUGCAACGCGAAGAUCCUUACCUAGGCUUGACAGUUGGGGAAAUCUGGCAGAGAUGCCAGGUCCGUAAGGCCCCAAAACAGGUGGUGCAUGCUGUCGUCAGCUCGUGUCGUGAGAAUGUUGGGUUAGUCCCGCAACGAGCGCAACCCUCGUCGUAUGUUGCCGCGGAUAAUGGCGGGACUCAUAGAGACUGCCGGGUCAACUCGGAGGAAGGUGGGAGACGUCAAGUCAUCAUGCCCUUAUGUCUAGGGCUGCACGCAUGCUACAAUGGCCGGGUACAGAGGGCUGCGAUACCGCGAGGUGGAGCGAAUCCCAAAAAGCCGGUCUCAGUUCGGAUUGGGGUCUGCAACUCGACCCCAUGAAGUCGGAGUCGCUAGUAAUCGCAGAUCAGCAACGCUGCGGUGAAUACGUUCCCGGGCCUUGUACACACCGCCCGUCACGUCACGAAAGUCGGCAACACCCGAAGCCGGUGGCCUAACCCUUGUGGAAGGAGCCGUCGAAGGUGGGGCUGGUGAUUGGGGAAGUCGUAACAAGGUAGCCGAU